CAGGCUUAACACAUGCAAGUCGAGGGGCAGCAUGGUCUUAGCUUGCUAAGGCCGAUGGCGACCGGCGCACGGGUGAGUAACACGUAUCCAACCUGCCGUCUACUCUUGGACAGCCUUCUGAAAGGAAGAUUAAUACAAGAUGGCAUCAUGAGUCCGCAUGUUCACAUGAUUAAAGGUAUUCCGGUAGACGAUGGGGAUGCGUUCCAUUAGAUAGUAGGCGGGGUAACGGCCCACCUAGUCUUCGAUGGAUAGGGGUUCUGAGAGGAAGGUCCCCCACAUUGGAACUGAGACACGGUCCAAACUCCUACGGGAGGCAGCAGUGAGGAAUAUUGGUCAAUGGGCGAGAGCCUGAACCAGCCAAGUAGCGUGAAGGAUGACUGCCCUAUGGGUUGUAAACUUCUUUUAUAAAGGAAUAAAGUCGGGUAUGGAUACCCGUUUGCAUGUACUUUAUGAAUAAGGAUCGGCUAACUCCGUGCCAGCAGCCGCGGUAAUACGGAGGAUCCGAGCGUUAUCCGGAUUUAUUGGGUUUAAAGGGAGCGUAGAUGGAUGUUUAAGUCAGUUGUGAAAGUUUGCGGCUCAACCGUAAAAUUGCAGUUGAUACUGGAUAUCUUGAGUGCAGUUGAGGCAGGCGGAAUUCGUGGUGUAGCGGUGAAAUGCUUAGAUAUCACGAAGAACUCCGAUUGCGAAGGCAGCCUGCUAAGCUGCAACUGACAUUGAGGCUCGAAAGUGUGGGUAUCAAACAGGAUUAGAUACCCUGGUAGUCCACACGGUAAACGAUGAAUACUCGCUGUUUGCGAUAUACUGCAAGCGGCCAAGCGAAAGCGUUAAGUAUUCCACCUGGGGAGUACGCCGGCAACGGUGAAACUCAAAGGAAUUGACGGGGGCCCGCACAAGCGGAGGAACAUGUGGUUUAAUUCGAUGAUACGCGAGGAACCUUACCCGGGCUUAAAUUGCAGAUGAAUUACGGUGAAAGCCGUAAGCCGCAAGGCAUCUGUGAAGGUGCUGCAUGGUUGUCGUCAGCUCGUGCCGUGAGGUGUCGGCUUAAGUGUCAUAACGAGCGCAACCCUUGUUGUCAGUUACUAACAGGUUCCGCUGAGGACUCUGACAAGACUGCCAUCGUAAGAUGUGAGGAAGGUGGGGAUGACGUCAAAUCAGCACGGCCCUUACGUCCGGGGCUACACACGUGUUACAAUGGGGGGUACAGAGGGCCGCUACCACGCGAGUGGAUGCCAAUCCCCAAAACCUCUCUCAGUUCGGACUGGAGUCUGCAACCCGACUCCACGAAGCUGGAUUCGCUAGUAAUCGCGCAUCAGCCACGGCGCGGUGAAUACGUUCCCGGGCCUUGUACACACCGCCCGUCAAGCCAUGGGAGCCGGGGGUACCUGAAGUGCGUAACCGCGAGGAGCGCCCUAGGGUAAAACUGGUGACUGGGGC
rnacentral:rRNA from 1 species